rnacentral:rRNA from 1 species
GACGAACGCUGGCGGCGUGCUUAACACAUGCAAGUCGAACGGAAAGGCCCUGCUUUUGUGGGGUGCUCGAGUGGCGAACGGGUGAGUAACACGUGAGUAACCUGCCCUUGACUUUGGGAUAACUUCAGGAAACUGGGGCUAAUACCGGAUAGGAGCUCCUGCUGCAUGGUGGGGGUUGGAAAGUUUCGGCGGUUGGGGAUGGACUCGCGGCUUAUCAGCUUGUUGGUGGGGUAGUGGCUUACCAAGGCUUUGAUGGGUAGCCGGCCUGAGAGGGUGACCGGCCACAUUGGGACUGAGAUACGGCCCAGACUCCUACGGGAUGCAGCAGUGGGGAAUAUUGCACAGUGGGCGGAAGCCUGAUGCAGCAACGCCGCGUGCGGGAUGACGGCCUUCGGGUUGUAAACCGCUUUCGCCUGUGACGAAGCGUGAGUGACGGUAAUGGGUAAAGAAGCACCGGCUAACUACGUG